CAAUAGCAUAUAUUAACGUUGUUGCAGUUGAAAAGCUCGUAGUUGAACUUUUGGUAGGAGCGACCUGGCCUUGGGCGCAUGCCCUUGUUUGCCGUGUGUCGUAUCUGGCCAUCCUUUUCUUCUUUUUGGAAGGAAUCCUUUACUGUGAGUAAACUGGAGUGCUCAAAACAAGACGUUUGUUUGGUACAUUAAAGCAUGGAAUAAUAAGAUAGGACCUGGUUACUAUUUUGUUGGUUUGCAUAGCUAGGUAAUGAUUAACAGGGACAGUUGGGGGUAUUCGUAUUUAAUUGUCAGAGGUGAAAUUCUUGGAUUUAUGAAAGACGAACGACUGCGAAAGCAUUUACCAAGGAUGUUUNCAUUAA
rnacentral:rRNA from 1 species